rnacentral:rRNA from 1 species
UACGGGGGGGGCAAGCGUUGUUCGGAAUUACUGGGCGUAAAGGGCUCGUAGGCGGCCAACUAAGUCAGACGUGAAAUCCCUCGGCUUAACCGGGGAAUUGCAUCCGAUACUGGAUGGCUUGAAUCCGGGAGAGGGAUGCGGAAUUCCAGGUGUAGCGGUGAAAUGCGUAGAUAUCUGGAGGAACACCGGUGGCGAAGGCGGCAUCCUGGACCGGCAUUGACGCUGAGGAGCGAAAGCCAGGGGAGCAAACGGG